rnacentral:rRNA from 1 species
GACGAACGCUGGCGGCGUGCUUAACACAUGCAAGUCGAACGGAAAGGCCCCCAUCUUGGUGGGGGUGCUCGAGUGGCGAACGGGUGAGUAACACGUGGGUGAUCUGCCCUGUACUUCGGGAUAAGCUUGGGAAACUGGGUCUAAUACCGGAUAGGACCAUGGUUUAGUGUCUCAUGGUGGAAAGAUUAUUGUUUUGGUGCAGGAUGAGCUCGCGGCCUAUCAGCUUGUUGGUGGGGUAAUGGCCUACCAAGGCGUCGACGGGUAGCCGGCCUGAGAGGGUGGACGGCCACAUGGGGACUGAGAUACGGCCCAGACUCCUACGGGAGGCAGCAGUGGGGAAUAUUGCAAAAUGGGCGCAAGCCUGAUGCAGCGACGCCGCGUGGGGGAUGACGGCCUUCGGGUUGUAAACUCCUUUCGUUAGGGACGAAGCCGCACUUUUUUUGGGUGUGGUGACGGUACCUUUGUUAAGAAGCACCGGCUAACUACGUG